GUGCCAGCAGCCGCGGUAAAACCAGCACCUCAAGUGGUCAGGAGGAUUAUUGGGCCUAAAGCAUCCGUAGCCUGCUUUGUAUGUUUUCGGUUAAAUCCAUCAGCUCAACUGAUGGGCCGCCGAAAAAACUGCAAAGCUAGGGAGUGGGAGAGGUAGACGGUACUCGAUAGGAAGGGGUAAAAUCCUUUGAUCUAUUGAUGACCCCCUGUGGCGAAGGCGGUCUACCAGAACACGUUCGACGGUGAGGGAUGAAAGCUGGGGGAGCAAACCGGAUUAGAUACCCGGGUAGUCCCAGCUGUAAACGAUGCAGACUCGGUGAUGCCCUGGCUUGUGGCCAGUGCAGUGCCGCAGGGAAGCCGUUAAGUUUGCCGCCUGGGAAGUACGUACGCAAGUAUGAAACUUAAAGGAAUUGGCGGGGGAGCACCACAAGGGGUGAAGCCUGCGGUUCAAUUGGAGUCAACGCCAGAAAUCUUACCCGAAGAGACAGCAGAAUGAAGGUCAAGCUGGAGACUUUACCAGACAAGCUGAGAAGUGGUGCAUGGCCGUCGCCAGCUCGUGCCGUGAGAUGUCCUGUUAAGUCAGGUAACGAGCGAGAUCCCUGCCUCUAGUUGCCACCAUUACUCUCAGGAGUAGUGGGGCGAAUUAGAGGGACCGCCACAGUUAAUGUGGAGGAAGGAAGGGGCCACGGCAGGUCAGUAUGCCCUGAAACUUUGGGGCCACACGCGGGCUGCAAUGGUAGUGACAAUGAGUUUCCGAAUCCGAAAGGAGGAGGCAAUCCUCAAACGCUACCACAGUUAUGAUUGAGGGCUGCAACUCGCCCUCAUGAAUAUGGAAUCCCUAGUAACCGCGUGUCAUUACCGCGCAGUGAAUACGUCCCUGCUCCUUGCACACACUGCCCGUC
rnacentral:rRNA from 1 species